UACGUAGGGGGCAAGCGUUGUCCGGAAUCAUUGGGCGUAAAGAGCGUGUAGGCGGCCCGAUAAGUCCGCUGUGAAAGUCCAGGGCUCAACCCUGGAAUGCCGGUGGAUACUGUCGGGCUCGAAUCCGGAAGAGGUGAGUGGAAUUCCUGGUGUAACGGUGAAAUGCGCAGAUAUCAGGAGGAACACCAAUGGCGAAGGCAGCUCACUGGGACGGUAUUGACGCUGAGACGCGAAAGCGUGGGGAGCAAACAGG
rnacentral:rRNA from 1 species